GAUGAAGAACGUAGCGAAAUGCGAUAAGUAGUGUGAAUUGCAGAAUUCAGUGAAUCAUCGAAUCUUUGAACGCACAUUGCGCCCCUUGGUAUUCCAUGGGGCAUGCCUGUUCGAGCGUCAUUUGUACCUUCAAGCCUUGCUUGGUGUUGGGUGUUUGUCUCGCCUCUGCGCGCAGACUCGCCUCAAAACAAUUGGCAGCCGGCGUAUUGAUUUCGGAGCGCAGUACAUCUCGCGCUUUGCACUCAGAACGACGACGUCCAAAAGUACAUUUUUACACUCUUGACCUCGAAUCAGGUAGGGAUACCCGCUGAACUUAAGCAUAUCAAUAAGCGGAGGA
rnacentral:misc_RNA from 1 species